rnacentral:rRNA from 2 species
UGGGGAAUAUUGCACAAUGGGCGCAAGCCUGAUGCAGCGACGCCGCGUGAGGGAUGACGGCCUUCGGGUUGUAAACCUCUUUCAGUAUCGACGAAGCCUUUUCGGUGACGGUAGGUACAGAAGAAGCACCGGCCAACUACGUGCCAGCAGCCGCGGUAAUACGUAGGGUGCGAGCGUUGUCCGGAAUUACUGGGCGUAAAGAGCUCGUAGGUGGUUUGUCGCGUUGUUCGUGAAAACUCACAGCUCAACUGUGGGCGUGCGGGCGAUACGGGCAGACUGGAGUACUGCAGGGGAGACUGGAAUUCCUGGUGUAGCGGUGGAAUGCGCAGAUAUCAGGAGGAACACCGGUGGCGAAGGCGGGUCUCUGGGCAGUAACUGACGCUGAGGAGCGAAAGCGUGGGGAGCGAACA